rnacentral:rRNA from 1 species
AUACGGAGGGUGCAAGCGUUACUCGGAAUCACUGGGCGUAAAGCGCGCGCAGGCGGCUAUUUAAGUUGGAUGUGAAAGCCUACGGCUCAACCGUAGAACUGCAUCCAAAACUAUUUAGCUAGAGUGUGGGAGAGGAAGAUGGAAUUAGUUGUGUAGGGGUAAAAUCCGUAGAGAUAACUAGGAAUACCAAAAGCGAAGGCAAUCUUCUGGAACACUUCUGACGAUGAGGCGCGAAAGCGUGGGGAGCAAACAGGAUUAGAAACCCUAGUAGUCC